rnacentral:rRNA from 1 species
AGCAGCCGCGGUAAUUCCAGCUCCAAUAGCGUAUAUUAAAGUUGUUGCAGUUAAAAGCUCGUAGUUGAAUUUCGGGGUUAGUAGGUUGGUCAUGCCUCUGGUAUGUACUGGUCUCACUGAUUCCUCCUUCCUGAUGAACCUUAAUGCCAUUUAUUUGGUGUUUUGGGGAAUUUGGACUGUUACUUUGAAAAAUUAGAGUGUUUAAAGCAAGCUAACGCUUGAAUACAUUAGCAUGGAAUAAUGAGAUAGGACGUUCGAUCCUAUUUUGUUGGUUUCUAGGAUUGACGUAAUGAUUAAUAGGGAUAGUUGGGGGCAUUAGUAUUCAAUUGUCAGAGGUGAAAUUCUUGGAUUUAUUGAAGACUAACUACUGCGAAAGCAUUUGCCAAGGAUGUUUUCAUUAAUCAAGAACGAAAGUUAGGGGAUCGAAGACGAUCAGAUACCGUCGUAGUCUUAACCAUAAACUAUGCCGACUAGGGAUCGGAUGAUGUAAUUUUUAAUGACUCAUUCGGCGCCUUACGGG